UGGGGGAUUUUGGACAAUGGGGGAAACCCUGAUCCAGCCAUCCCGCGUGUGCGAUGAAGGCCUUCGGGUUGUAAAGCACUUUUGGCAGGAAAGAAACGUCGCGGGUUAAUACCCCGCGGAACUGACGGUACCUGCAGAAUAAGCACCGGCUAACUACGUGCCAGCAGCCGCGGUAAUACGUAGGGUGCAAGCGUUAAUCGGAAUUACUGGGCGUAAAGCGUGCGCAGGCGGUUCGGAAAGAAAGAUGUGAAAUCCCAGAGCUUAACUUUGGAACUGCAUUUUUAACUACCGGGCUAGAGUGUGUCAGAGGGAGGUGGAAUUCCGCGUGUAGCAGUGAAAUGCGUAGAUAUGCGGAGGAACACCGAUGGCGAAGGCAGCCUCCUGGGAUAACACUGACGCCCAUGCACGAAAGCGUGGGGAGCAAACAGGAUUAGAUACCCUGGUAGUCCACGCCCUAAACGAUGUCAACUAGCUGUUGGGGGUCUUCGGACCUUGGUAGCGCAGCUAACGCGUGAAGUUGACCGCCUGGGGGAGUACGGUCGCAAGAUUAAAACUCAAAGGAAUUGACGGGGGUCAUAGCUGUUUCCU
rnacentral:rRNA from 1 species